rnacentral:lncRNA from 1 species
UUCUAUCGCUUCGGCAGGAGAUCGUCAAAUAUGAGCACGAUAAAUCUGUCGCUUCGGCCAGAUUUACCAAGGAUUGUUUCGAGCAAAAGGAGAAUGUCACGAGAGGUAAAAUCACACGGUAAGUUCAAUUGGUCAAUAAUAAUAUGCGUUUUAGACUGAUCCAGUUGUUUUGCAGGAUGUUUUCUUUUUUGCAGGAAUUAUUCUGUCGCUUCGGCC